rnacentral:lncRNA from 1 species
CAAGGAGCUAUUGAAAUGAGAAAUUUUGAAAAAUGAAUGUAAAAACCUGUGAGAUGAAAAUGAACAAAUCAAAGGUUGUGCAAUAUAGAAGGGUAGUCAGUGGACAUUCUGAACCUUGUGUCAUGUAGGUCACAUGAGCAAUUGAAAUUCAAAUGUAAAAAGUUUGUACUUUGUUUACACUCCAUUACUAAUUCAACUAGUAAUACAAAAUGCUGCUCACAUUUCCACGUUUAUUAGCUUUGGAAAGCAAAUUAAUGACCAAAUCGUGAAAAUAAGACCUGUGCAAUUUUUCCAACAUCUUGACACUUAUUUGGAGUCUGUGGCUCGAAAGCUAUUGAGGUUUGAAAGCACGAAUAUCCGUUGAAUAUCCAACUUAACUGUUUUUACCUUGGUACUUCGUUUCACCUUUUUUCGACAUUUCUUUGUAUAUAUCCAUAAAAAUUAAAGCAGCCGAUUGAUGAUUUAGACAGGCAGCGUUUCUCAGCCAGUCUGUCUAUUCCCGACUCCGGACAAAUUCAUUACCAUGGUACAGUUGGAGCAUAAACAAAGGAAUGUUCGGGUGUCGUGUGAGCAUUGUUGUGGAAAAUUGUCUUAAGAAUAUAAUACUCUUGCAAGAACUUGUGAAUUUAAUACAGACUUUAAUACAGAGUAGCAAAGCCGAGCUGGUCCAUGGAACAACUUCCCUGAGCAUCGGCUCUUCUUUUAUGCACAUACAGCAUAUGGGUACAUCCCCUAUGUUAAUGCAAUUACUCCUCUUAGUCUUUCCGCCACCAUUAUCUUCCAACUCCUCUGACAUAGUAUACAUGCAAUAUUAAAUCACAUGGUUACUUUGGAUACAGUACAUUUCAUGUGUCUUAGUAAAAAAAAAAAAAAAAUCUUUCCAUGUGUUCAAUAUCUUUGAGAUCAGCACCAGUCCAUGCGAGAAAUUGCCAAGAAACUGAAAAUCUCGUACAACGCUGUGUAAUACUCCCUUCACAGAACAGCGCAAACUGGCUCUAACCAGAAUGGAAAGAGGAGUGGAGGCCCCGGUGCACAACUGAGUAAGAGGACAAGUACAUUAGAGUGUCUAGUUUGAGAAACAGACGUCUCAAGUCAUCAACUGGCAGCUUCAUUAAAUAGUACCCGCAAAACACCAGUCUCAACGUCAACAGUGAAGAGGCGACUCCGGGAUGCUGGCCUUCUAGGCAGAGUUCCUCUGUCCAGUGUCUGUUCUUUUGCCCAUCUGAAUCUUUUAUUUUUAUUGGCCAGUCUGAGAUAUGGCUUUUUCUUUGCAACUCUGCCUAGGCCAGUAUCCUGGAGUCGCCUCUUCACUGUUGACGUUGAGACUGGUGUUUAAAGAUGAUUAACUUUGAAACAAAAGUACAAACCUCACACACAUGGUUAUGGGCUUUAAAAAAAAUAAAAAAAUACACCUGUACCAUGUCAGAUAUUUAGAAUUUCAGAUUAGAAAUGUAUUACAUUUUGAGUUUGCAUCCCAAUACUACACUUUAUAUGGUCUAUAUAGCCUUCUUUUAACCAUAAAAAGGGUUAGCAUUCACACCUAACCAGACACGUCUGGUAAGAAUGUACCCUGCCUGUCUUACUUUAGUCCCCUAUAAAAUCAACAAGAGCCAAGUGAAGGAUGCUGCUGACAAUAUAUUUUUAAGUGUACAAAAAUAUUUAGAAACAAAUAACAUACACCAACAUAAAGAAAUAACACUAGGUCGAACAAACAUAUGAAAAUAUAAUGUAAAUGCACCAGGUCAGUGGUUACUACAAACAUACAGGUUUCCUGGUAUAUGCAUCCAGAAUACUGCAAUGGAACCUUGUUUCAGCUGGCUUAGUAUCUCUAAAUCAUACAAUACUGUUCAUCCCGUGUAAACAAACGGAAUCGGUUUAAACUCCAGAAAAAUAUCUAUUGGUAAGGUACCCACUUGUUAUAAGAUUGUAAAAGGGAACGGUAGAGAGGUGGGCAGAAUGAUAACUUACAAAUUCAUACAAACCGCAGUGAAUUUGGCAUAGUUCACAUUCUGUGAUACAGUAAACAUGAGGUUUGCAUAAAAUACUGUUUACCCCCCAAAAAUGUCAGACAACACUGACAAGAAAAUAAACAUUAAAAUACAGCAAUCCAAUGACACACAAAAAACUUUAGGGUUUUUUAAAUUAGAUGAAGUUUCGCAAUGUUGCCUGUGAUGGGGUCAUGAUAGGGGCUGCACCAAAUGUUUGAUGUAUUAUAAUAAUUGGUUAUGCUUAUGUUGUAUUAAUAGAAGGGGAAGGGUUAUAAGACCUGUCCCCCCUUACAUUUAUAGGGUCCUAGACUACAAAUGAACAAUAUAUAUAUGCAUUAUAAGGUGUAAUAUUGUUCCACAGUUAUUUUAUAGUCUGCUUCUUAUAAGAAACGGUCUGAGAGCUGUGUGAGUUAUUGCAGUCAAAACAGGGUGUCUGAGAAAGCGCCUCAAAGAUAAAAGAGAUUCAUAGACACAGAACCCUGCAGGGGAGUGAAAGAGAUAAGAGACUAGUCAGACAUACCACCAUAAAUCAACUUGGGGAGUGGACAUGUACUGCUGAGCCUUUAGAAAACACUGGAACUCAACAUUAUGUGUAAAGCUGUGUAUGCAUGGGCUUGGUCUCAUGAGUAGAGGGUAAUGACGUAGGCAUUUACAUCACUAGGGGUUGACUGCAAGCAUAUUAAAAGCAACUUGGACUUUUCCUAUUUAGCAGAACACAGGAGAGACAUCAGUUGUAUGUGUGAUGUUUGAUCUUUGACUUCGGUCUACAGCUGUAUUUUGAUGAAAAUUGUUCUAAUUUAUAAGUGCACAUUGAGUGUUCCUUAUUUGUUAAGUAAAUAAUGGAGCCAAGAAAAGUGGAACCAACACCUGUCAGGCCUGAGGUAGAGAGGACACUGUCAGAUAAAUUCUCAGUCACUUAAGAAUGUAAACAAUAACUACAGUAAAUAAUAACUGUAUUAUGAGCUGCCCAACCUUGCCACAAUGAGGUCAAUUUCUGCAUUCCCAAAGAAUAUACAUUGGUUAUGAAUAUUUGUCAUUAAAAACAAAAAUUGUACAUAUAUUUCCAUGGGAAACAAGUUACAAGAAUCAGAUUGUCAUGCGACAGUCCUCACUCCACUCCCCCAGUCCAUAACUGGAGACAAUACAAUUUGUCGUGGGUUAGCUGCCAGGCCUACUUCUUCUGCUUGAAUUUCUUCUGAAACUUCUGGAAGGUGGUGGAGGAAGACUUGGGAACUUUAGUGGUCAAAGAGGUGAGAGGACAAUAUCUCUUCUGAAUGCCAACAGACCAUACACCUAAAUGGAGUAAUAAUUCAUUCGUAACAAUAAAUGUUACAACAAAUAAAACAAAAACCUACAUCCUCAUAUUUGACAGAAAGGAAUACAUGGAGAUGGGGAACAAACUGAAUAGAUACAAGAAAUGCUUUCCUUACAAAGAUAUGGAAAAUGCAAUGUAGGUAGCGGACACAUUACAUACAGUACAUUUUCAACACAUGGUUGAAUAGACGGCAUGCUUUAUUACCUUGGGAUUUUUGGACUAUCGUCUGAGGACUCUCAGCCUUCGCAGCAACCGGACCAGCCAUGUCUGAUGGGAAAAGUGUUUCAAUGUGAAAAGAGCAGGAAUACAUGUCUAAUUACAGGUAACAUUAACUGAAAUAAGAGCAAAUGUGUUGGUGUUGGUAUUACUUACCAUUCAUUGAACCUGUCUGUGUCGGAGGGUCCAUGACGUCUUUGAAGUUGAACGACUCCGGCAGCACACUAAACAUAAGACUGUUCUGCUCAUGAGGCAAAGGAGCUGGGUUUCCGAUCUCAUAUUUACUUUGUUCCACUAGAUCAGGGAUACUGGAUGGCACUGCCUCAAUCCUAGAUUUCUUUGGUCCGAGUUUCAGGCCGUUUAAGAUUCUUUCUCUUUCAACACGCCGCAAAGUCUGCUUGGCCUUUACAGUUCUUUCUGGUUUGGCUCGCCUUUCAGAGGAUAAUGCACCUCUAUCUGUGUUGGUGAGGGCAACAGUCUUUUUGGCCAUUUCAGCACAAAUAAUCUUUGGAGCAAAGCCUCUUCUGUUUUGUAGUUUUGACACUUUGCCCCUGGACUUUGUCUUUGUCGGGAUAAAACUAUUAUUCCACUCGUUUAAGAUCCAUUGUUUGAUUGGGCUUUCCGCUGGAGGACUGGUCCAGGAGUUGACAUUCACACUGAGGGUUAUAGGAGGUGCUGGAGCAUUGUCUGCAAAAGGUCUUGCUCGAGAAGUAUUAUGGUCCUUGCGUUGGUCAGUUGUUAAAGCCCCAUUUUUCCUCUGGAGCGCGGAACCAAACAAGGCUAGACUUACUGUGCCAACCCUCCAAAUGUUGUUCCCAAUUCCAUGUUCUGUUGGCUUCUGGAGAUUGCUACCUUUUGAAUGUUUCUCUUCUUCCAAAGAUUUAGAAGUAGUUGUAUUGGGGGGCUCAAAAACAUCAUCAUCAGUCAAGUUGACCUCAGGAACGAGUUGAAAGGAGGGACCUAAUCCAUCCCUCAUUUUCCUUUGCUUUCUUGGGACAGGCAAAUUUGAAUGCGGACUUUCAACACAUCUUCUCUUGAGUCCAACCCCUUUUUGUUUAACCUUGUAGCUACAAUUUGUUUUAGGAGAGAGAUGUUUGUGACAUCUUUGUGCCAAGGAAAGUGAUGUAAGGAAACCGAUUUUGUCUGUUGGUUGGGGUUGCAGAUUAGAAGUAGGAAUGGGAACUGUAGGAACGACUUCACUACCUCUAGGGUUUCCUUCUUCCAAAAUGACACCAAGUUCUUGUACACAUUCUAUACGUUUCUGGAACAGACCUGGUAGUUUCUGCUUUGGCUGUACAUCGUCCCAAACUAUCUCCGAUAUUGGGGUGUCUACUUUAAUAAAGUCUUCAUAACGGGAGAAGACCUCUUCAAUUUCAACAAUGUUUGUGUGGUUGAUGGGGAGUUGCAGUGCUGGGGCUUUUGACAAAGGCAAGCUCUUCACCCAAUUUGUGUAUAUGCGAGCAGUCUCAGAUUUGCUAUCAGACAAAACAAUUGUUUGGCAUUCUUGAAUGCCUGUAGAUUUCCAAGAUUGAGGAUUCAAAUUUUUUACAGGAUUCUCUUCCCUCUUUUCUUCUGCUGUGCCAUUUGAUUUAGACAAUUGCAGGCAUUCCCUUUGUUCUGCUUUUGUUGUGUUGGGUUCAACAGACAAUGUUACCUCAACCAACGGCGUCGCAUUCACAGUGGCCUUUGCUGAACCCAAUUUAGUCUCGUAUUGGCAUUUGCAGGACGAAGAAUUGGUGGACCCACUGAACACUGCCAUCCAACGAGAGAGGCAACAGUAAUCUUCUGAUUGGGCAUCCCCUUUGUUUUCGAGUUUUAAAUCAGUCAACUUCACAUCUACCCUCUCAGAUGACUUAUCCUCCACUGAGUAAUCUUUCAACUCAAUCAGCUCCGCGUCCAUUUCCAUUGGCAAUUCCAACAGGUCUUCUUCAUUCACUUUAUCUUGUGGUAGCUGCCCACUGAAAAACAUCAAAGCUUCUUCUGGUGUCAGCACGUUGAUCUCCAGGGAGGAAAAUGGGUCACUAAAAAUGAUACCUGCCUCUCUCUUAACCAGUGAGAGGGUCUGGGUGGAACCGUGUACCAAACCUGACCCUUGAAUUUCUUUAGCAUCAGAAUCAGAGGGUGUUGGUCUCUUCGUCUGAGCCACCUCAGUCUGCAUGUCAUUGGCAGAGUCCGCAGAUUUUUCAUUUUCGGUACAAAUCAGUUUUGUUUGUUCAUCUCCUCUAUGAAGAGUCUUUUGGUCAUAUCUUAGUGACCAUGGGAAUCCAAACUCCUUGUCUAUGUCAUCAAGCUGCUUAUUUGUGUUCAACCACGAUGACUCUUGCGCUGGGAACUCGGGGUGAACAGAAUCAUGUUUAAGAAUGGCACAUUUCUCUUCAACUUGACCCCAGUUUUUGCGCCUGGCUUGUGAAAAUAUGACAGACUGUGAUGACAUAUCGUCAUCGUCGCCACACACAGAUCUAACCUCUUCCAUUAUAUUUUGUAACAUACCAGAUCUUGCAGCAUCCAUAAGCUUUGGCCCAUCUCCGUCCCAAUAGAGGCUUAGUAUUUUGCUUUCAACUGGUGUGGCAGUGCAUUUUUGACUUUGCACAGUAUCUACCAACUCCUUCAAUUUACCAAGGGUCCAUUUGAUUACAGGAAUGGAGGACAAUUCAAAAAUGUCCUCAUCGGAAUCGACUUUUUCAUUCGUUUCCUCACUCAAUUGGUUAACAUGCACAUGAGUGGUCAUUUCUGUGUCAGCUAACUCUUUUCUCUGAGUGGCUUGACAUUCCACAUUAGGUAAUGGUUGAGAAUCAAAUUUCUCUGCACAUAACCCGUUUGAUAAUGACCGUUGAGGCUUAAAACAUGAAUAUAUCUUGGCCAUUUCAACAUCAGAAGUUUCUGAACCCUUGGUCAAUGUUUUAUCAGCCCCUGAUUCUAGUCUGAUCUUGGGGACCUCUUGUUCAGAUUCAUUUGUCAAAGAAGCAGAUAGAAUAAGGGUUGUUUGGGCUUGUGAUGGACUUUGGUCACAAGAUUCUUCCCCAGGGUUGCUCACAUUUUUGACACCUGUUAAGAAAGACAUACCUUGGGUAGUCAAGGAGAUUUUAUCAGCCACAUUUAGAGGUGUGUUUGUCUGCAUACACUGCGAUAGUGGUUGUACAACUGCAACGGCCUUCUGUGUCGUAAGAACAGAGGGGGCAUUACUUGCAGAUGAUCCUUGCAGGACCAGAGCACUUUCAUUAGGUUUAUCUCCUAUGAAAAUAAAAUUUUCUGUUCUAAAUCCAUUUCCACUUUUGUCCUCUGUUACUGUUAUGUAAUAGCCCUGUCUUAUGGGGUGUGACGGAGUCACAGACUCACAGUUUUGCUGGCCUGAAGACAGCAUACCAUGGUUUGGCACAGAUGAAGAUGGUCCAGUGUUGGAUAACUGAACAUAGGUGUUUUUUGGCUUGUAAUGUAGGGUAGGGGCUGCACCUUGGUUAGGCACGUGUUGCAGAAAAUGCGCUCCUGCCCCAACCACAUGUUCCGUCUUGUUCAGCACGGGUCCAUGGGAGUGCUGGCCUGGGUAUGGUGGAGGCGCGGUCUCACGGUUGUGCUGGACUGAGGGCUGUAUACUAUAGUUUGGCACAGAUGAAGAUGGUCCAGCGUUGCCUACCAGAACAUUGGUGCAGUCUGGCUUGUAAUGUAGGGUAGGGCAUGUGCCUUGGAUAUGGAGCCUAGGAUGAGAGGCAUAGUGUGCAUUAUUUCCAAUGGGCCCUGCCUGACUGUUAUUAUUUGCACAAUAAGAUGGGAGUCUGUUCUGUUGUGGUGGGAUGGGAAAGCUUUUAGGGCAGAUGGGGACAUGUCUUGGAGAAUUAUUAAAAGGAGGGUUAUACAUAACAUUGUACUGAGGAUUCUGGCUAAUGUUAUGCAUUGGCAUUGACUGCCCCACUGUAGCAUUUGAUACAUUGACCUGGUUGUUGCUGCCAGUGAGAAGUUGAGAGGGAUACAUUUGACUGUGGUUUGAUGAGCCAGUGUGGACAGGUGCUCCAUGUUGGUGCACCCUGUUCAUCUCAGCCCUGCUGUCAUUGUUCUGAUUUUGAAGUAAAUACAACAGUUGGUUAUAUGUUGUCUCCUGUCCACUUUGCAAAGAGUUUGGUGUUUGUGGGUUUCCCUGAUGAGGAGCUUGAACUGCUAUCCUUCUUGAAUCCUGCCCACUCACUACAGUCAAUUUAUGAUUUACAUGGUUGGGGCUCCUACCCAUUGCAAGAGAAGCAGAGGUACCACUGGAGGCCCCCUCUUGUCUGCCAAGUACAAGCUGCUGACUGCCACUCACUGGGCUUAGAUGAUACAUAACAUUUGUAUUCAGUGGUGCAUUAAUAUGAGGGGGGCAGUGAAUGGUUGGACCCUGACCAUCCUUUACGAGCCUCUGUGGAUUGUUUUUUUUAACACCCAAAAACCUCUGUCCCUGCUGAAAAGUGGGCUGAGCUGCACUGUUAACCCUUCCGGGCAAGGUGUGACGGUUUCCACUUUGUGAUGUAACACCAGUUGAUUGAGCAGCCGCUGCAUUGUUAGUCCAGAGUGAUGUCAAAAGGGGACUAGUACCCGUUAGAACUUGCUCUUUGGUGGGUGAAUGCUGAGAUGAGUUUAUGUACACCAUUGAAGCCUGUUGAUUCAGGUUCGGUCCACUCCAGUAACCUCCACUGGUUACUUGUCCGCUGUGUGGUAGGCAUCGACCACCUUCUAUAUACAGGACAGCUGGUCUGACUGGCCCAUAUUGACGAGAAUAGCUGCAAGGAAUCUCACUCAUCUGACCACUGGUAACUUGGGGACUUGAUGAUUGUCCAGCGACGGAUCGAUCCAGUCCACUUUGGGUCCAGGUAUAGGUCUGCAUUCUCCUUGUCUCAUCAGUGUCGCCUACUGCCUUGUAGUAUUUCAGAAUUAAACCAUUUCUGAAAAAAAAACGGGGGAAAAAAAACGUGAUUAACAGGGCAACACACACACACACACAGUAACCAACAUAGCCUGUAUCAAAAAUAAUGGUAUAGAUUUAAAGUAUGGCAAUCUGGAAC